rnacentral:rRNA from 1 species
UGGGGAAUAUUGCACAAUGGGGGAAACCCUGAUGCAGCGACGCCGCGUGAACGAAGAAGGUAUUCGUAUCGUAAAGUUCUGUCCUAUGGGAAGAUAAUGACAGUACCAUAGAAGAAAGCUCCGGCUAAAUACGUGCUAGCAGCCGCGGUAAUACGUAUGGAGCGAGCGUUGUCCGGAAUUAUUGGGCGUAAAGGGUACGCAGGCGGUUUAAUAAGUCGAAUGUUAAAGAUCGGGGCUCAACCCCGUAAAGCAUUGGAAACUGAUAAACUUGAGUAGUGGAGAGGAAAGUGGAAUUCCUAGUGUAGUGGUGAAAUACGUAGAUAUUAGGAAGAAUACCAGUAGCGAAGGCGACUUUCUGGACACAAACUGACGCUGAGGUACGAAAGCGUGGGGAGCAAACAGG